AGAGUUUGAUCCUGGCUCAGGAUGAACGCUGGCGGCGUGCCUAACACAUGCAAGUCGAACGAAGCUUGACGGAUGAUUUCUUCGGAAUGAAACCUGAUAUGACUUAGUGGCGGACGGGUGAGUAACACGUGAGCAACCUGCCUUUCAGAGGGGGAUAACGGCUGGAAACGGUCGCUAAUACCGCAUGACGUGUUCGGAUGGCAUCAUCUGAACAUCAAAGAUUUAUCGCUGAAAGAUGGGCUCGCGUCUGAUUAGAUAGUUGGUGGGGUAACGGCCUACCAAGUCUACGAUCAGUAGCCGGACUGAGAGGUUGAACGGCCACAUUGGGACUGAGAUACGGCCCAGACUCCUACGGGAGGCAGCAGUGGGGAAUAUUGCACAAUGGGGGAAACCCUGAUGCAGCAACGCCGCGUGAAGGAUGACGGUUUUCGGAUUGUAAACUUCUUUUCUUAGUGACGAAGACAGUGACGGUAGCUAAGGAAUAAGCAUCGGCUAACUACGUGCCAGCAGCCGCGGUAAUACGUAGGAUGCAAGCGUUAUCCGGAUUUACUGGGUGUAAAGGGAGCGCAGGCGGGACUGCAAGUUGGAUGUGAAAUACCGUGGCUUAACCACGGAACUGCAUCCAAAACUGUAGUUCUUGAGUGAAGUAGAGGCAAGCGGAAUUCCGAGUGUAGCGGUGAAAUGCGUAGAUAUUCGGAGGAACACCAGUGGCGAAGGCGGCUUGCUGGGCUUUAACUGACGCUGAGGCUCGAAAGUGUGGGGAGCAAACAGGAUUAGAUACCCUGGUAGUCCACACUGUAAACGAUGAUAGCUAGGUGUGGGGGGUCUGACCCCUUCCGUGCCGGAGUUAACGCAAUAAGCUAUCCACCUGGGGAGUACGACCGCAAGGUUGAAACUCAAAGGAAUUGACGGGGGCCCGCACAAGCAGUGGAUUAUGU
rnacentral:rRNA from 1 species